rnacentral:lncRNA from 1 species
GCGGCGGACGCGGACGGGACGACAGUGCCGUGGGAGAAGGAGCAGGGGUCUCUGGUCUCCGCGGCGGGCGGCGGGAGGUGGUCGGAGAAGCCGGAGCUGAGCAAGGCGGCGCAGUUGUUGGGAGGCAGCGGCGCAGUACUCGGGAGGCAGCGGCGCCAUGUCAGCGUUGGCGUCGUCCACGGCAGGGUAAUGCAACCACGGCACGGCGUCGUCGUGGCCGGCGCCCCGCCGCAUGAGAUUCUUGAUGAAGAGGUCGCCUUGGUACUGGAGCAGUAG